rnacentral:rRNA from 1 species
AUGUAAAUUCCUACAACAUAACGUUAAUGCAUCAUAUCCCAUUAGAACUCCACAGUUAAGAACUCUUGGGAUAUAGUAUCACUGGAAUGGGUGACCACCCAGGAAGUCCUAGUAUUUUACAUG